rfam:Myotis davidii contig208314, whole genome shotgun sequence.
GGCCAGUUUGCUUAGUGGUUAGAGCAUUGGCCUGUGGACCUAAUGGCUGUGGGUUCGAUCCCCAGCCCUAGGCG